GGAUGAUUUAAGUGUCAUUAGAAAGACAUUUAGAGAAAAAGCAUUUUAACAUUAAAAUCAGAAGAGUGUAAUGACAUGAAUCCUUGAUGCUUAAAGAGUUGUCAGCUCUUAUUUUUUCCAAAGAUAGAUAGACCAUAUUUACAAGAAAUACCUCUAGUAUCUGUGAACUUAGGAAUAAGGAAUAGCUUUGAUUAUGACAACCACAGUGUUCUAAUGAAAAACUUAGAUUUUACUAUUGGAUUCAAAACCAAGUGAAAGAUUCAUUAAAGCUGAGGAACACAUCAGAGUCUCUUAACAGCAGCAGAAUUGAUCAAGCAGAAGAAAGAAUUUGUGAGCUUGAAGAGAUGCUAUUUAAAAAUACAAAGUCAGAGAACACCAAAGAAAAAGAAAAAAGAAUGAUGCCACACCUACAAGAUCCAGAAAAUAGCCUCAGUGGAGGCAAAUCUAAGAGUUAUUGGCCUUAAAGAGGAGGUCGAGAAGAUAGGGGUAGAAAGUUUACUCAAAGUGAUAAUAACAGAAAAUUUCCCAAAACUAGAGAAAGAUAUCAAUAUUGACAUACAAGAUUAUAGAACAGCUAGCAGAUUUAAUCCAAAGAAGAAUGCAUAAGGCAUGUAAUAUCAGACUCCCAGAGGUCAAGGAUAAAGAAAAGAUCUUGAAAGCAACAAGAGAAAAGAAACAAAUAACGUACAAUGGAGCUUCAGUAUGUCUGACAGAUGAUUAUUCCAUGGAAACUUUACAGGCCAGUAGCGAGUGGCCUGAUAUGCUUAAAGUGCUGAAGGAAAGAAGCUUUUAUCCUAGAACAGUAUAUCUAGGAAAAAUAUUCUCCAAACAGGAGGG